GGUCACCCGACCGGCACUGAAAACUAAAUGCCAAAACUGUCGUCUCCCUUGGUCCGCCGCAUAAGGCGAGAAGCUCGUGGCAAUGGAGACCCCGACCACCGGAGGCGAUGGAAUCGAGUUCUUAUCAUAUCCAGUCGACAGAUUUCCCCUGCCGGAUCUGGGCGGCGCAUCUGCGCCGCUGGACCAUGGUGCGAGCCAAGCUUUAGUAUGCGCGCCUGCUGAAUCAAGCAUUGGUGAUGCCGGAGACACGCACUGGACUUACAAAUGGAUUUGAUAAGCACUUGCGAGGGGGUUGCUCUGUCCGCACCGGCGUCCGAGCAAUCUACAGGCAAAGACAACCCUCAAGCUCCUGGUUGGGCUAAAAGAAUCCGUAUGGGGCGUGCACCUGAUGAUGAACGACCCCCAUGUGCUGCCAGGAUGAGUGCACUGGAAAUGGCGUUACCAAGCUAUGCAGAAAAGAAAACUGAAACUGUCAUAGUUCCAGCUAUGCAGAAAAGAAAACUGAAACUGUCAUAGUUCCAGGUUCGGCUCCUCUGCAGUCGAACUAUUACUGCACGUGUACUGUAGACAUCCAUAUCGCCCGUCAAUUCCAAUCUGGCCGCUCUCAUUUUCCCCACUUAAUUCUCUUAAAAAAUGAAAACAAACACCCAAUUUGUCCGGUGGAAAAUCUGGUAAGGUUACUUGGCGCCAAACAGAACGCACGUUGGCGCCAAACAGCGAUCUCCAUGCCUUCCUCCCGCCCGUCUUCCCCAGUGCUUUUUUUUGCGGGCGUUCCCCAGUCCUUCUUGGUCGUCCUCCUUGUAGCCAAAACGUGACCAAGGUACAUGCUGAUCUAUAGGCGGCAUAGGGAUCUCCCUUUUGCCCUAUCUCUGUACCGAUUGUCCUCCUCACGUUGAUCUGCAAGUUUAAGUGGCAUUAAGAUCUCCCUUUUGCCCUAUCUCUGUACUGAUUGUCCUCGUCAUGCUGAUCUGCAAGUGGUGUAGAUGAUCUCCCUUUUGAACUCACUUUUGCCAUCCUUCUCCUAGCAACAAAAAAGAAGCUGAUCAAUCCCAAGAUUGCAAAAAACAAAGACAAGGUCUAAUGGAGAAUAUGACUAACUGCAAUGAAGAUUCAAACAGGAGAUUAAUGUAGAUGAUCUCCUUUUUGCCUUCCUUCUCCUAGCAAAAAAAAAGAUGAUCAAUCUCAAGAUUACAAAAAAGGAAACAACGAGGUCUAAUGGAGAAUAUAACGACGAGGUCUAAUGGAGAAUAUGACCAACUCCAACAAAGAUUUGAACAGGACAAAUAUGAUUCCUAGUUGGAUGCCUCAAAUUGGCAUGAAAUUUAAUUCCACAAAGGAGGCUUGGGGCUUCUGGACUUGUUAUGGAGGCUUGGGGCUUCUGGACUUGGGUAUAUUCCAGUUGCACAAUGCAAAGCACCUAUGGAGAAAAUGACUGGAACAAAUGCAGAUGGUUUGCAGGAAUAUGGGUACUAUGCUCGUUUACUAACGAGUGAAGCCGAUGAUAUUUGGGACUUGGAAAAGAAUUCAUAUUUUCCUCGGAUAUGACAACAGUUCGAUAGGGAGAUAAGAGGAGAGUCAUGCAUUUGUGGGAUUCGGCUCCUCUACAUCAACCUCAACUACAGCCAUCACUACAGCCGUGAACUGCAGCUAGUAAUUCCUUUUACUUGUGAUGUGUUUAGUACUUAAGGCAAAUACAGAGAGAGCAGCCUUCGCAUCCUGUUAUGGUAUUUGUAAUUCCUUUAGGCAAAGAGAAAGGAAGAGGAACGUUUGCUUCUGUUUAUCUGUUUUAAAAGCAGAGUAGCACUUAGUUUUGCUGAUGUGUGAAGCGGCAAGGACUUGAGCAUUUA